rnacentral:rRNA from 1 species
AACACGUAGGUAAUCUACCUUUGGAUUGGGAAUAACCACCGGAAACGGUGGCUAAUACCGAAUAAUGCAGCGGCACCUAAUGGUGACAGUUGUUAAAGCGGGGGAUCGCAAGACCUCGCGUCUGAAGAGGAGCCUGCGGCAGAUUAGCUAGUUGGUAAGGUAACGGCUUACCAAGGCGAUGAUCUGUAGCCGGCCUGAGAGGGCGGUCGGCCACACUGACACCGACAUACGGGUCAGACUCCUACGGGAGGCAGCAGUCGGGAAUUUUGGGCAAUGGGCGAAAGCCUGACCCAGCAACGCCGCGUGAAGGAUGAAAUCCUUCGGGAUGUAAACUUCGCAAGAACGGGAAGAAUAAGUAAGAGUUAAUAUCUCUUACGAUGACGGUACUGUUUGUAAGCUCCGGCUAACUCCGUGCCAGCAGCCGCGGUAAUACGGGGGGAGCAAGCGUUGUUCGGAUUUACUGGGCGUAAAGGGCGCGUAGGCGGCCACCGCAAGUCGACUGUGAAAUCUCCGGGCUUAACCCGGAAAGGUCAGCCGAUACUGCGGGGCUAGAGUGCAGAAGGGGCAACUGGAAUUCUCGGUGUAGCGGUGAAAUGCGUAGAUAUCGAGAGGAACACCUGCGGCGAAGGCGGGUUGCUGGGCUGACACUGACGCUGAGGCGCGAAAGCUAGGGGAGCGAACGGGAUUAGAUACCCCGGUAGUCCUAGCCUUAAACGAUGAAUGCUUGGUGUCUGGGGUUUUAUAGUCCCCCGGGUGCCGUCGCUAACGCUUUAAGCAUUCCGCCUGGGGAGUACGGUCGCAAGACUG